rnacentral:rRNA from 1 species
CGGGACGGGUGAGUAAUGUCUGGGAAACUGCCUGAUGGAGGGGGGUAACUACUGGAAACGGUAGCUAAUACCGCAUAACGUCUUCGGACCAAAGUGGGGGACCUUCGGGCCUCACGCCAUCGGAUGUGCCCAGAUGGGAUUAGCUAGUAGGUGGGGUAAUGGCUCACCUAGGCGACGAUCCCUAGCUGGUCCGAGAGGAUGACCAGCCACACUGGAACUGAGACACGGUCCAG